rnacentral:rRNA from 1 species
UACAGAGGGGGCAAGCGUUGUUCGGAAUUACUGGGCGUAAAGGGCGCGUAGGCGGCCUCUUAAGUCGAACGUGAAAUCCCCGGGCUCAACCCGGGAACUGCGUCCGAUACUGGGAGGCUUGAAUCCGGGAGAGGGAUGUGGAAUUCCAGGUGUAGCGGUGAAAUGCGUAGAUAUCUGGAGGAACACCGGUGGCGAAGGCGGCAUCCUGGACCAAUAUUGACGCUGAGGAGCGAAAGCCAGGGGAGCAAACGGG